AGCAACGGUCCCACAAGGCAGUGGGGUUCCGGGAAAGAGAGGCCGCUUCCGGCUGCUCGACUGCCCUGCCGCUGUGCCGCCGGAUUUGGCCGCCUACGCCACCUGCGCCGGAGGAAGGCUCUCAGUUCUCCGACCAGGGAUUGAACCCAGGCCACAGCAGUGGAAGCCCAGAAUCCUAACCACUAGGCCACCAGAGAACUCCUGGCCAUGUCAUCCUUUUAAAGUGGUUAAGAAUCCGCCUGCCAAUGCAGGAGACACGGGUUUGAGCCCUGGUCUGGGAAGAUCCCACAUGCCACGGAGCAACUAAGCCCAUGCGCCACAACUACUGAGCCUGUGCUCUAGAACCCGCAAGCUACAACUACUGAAGCCUGCGCACCUAGAGCCCGCGCUCCACAACAAGAGAAGCCACCGCAAUGAGAAGCCCAUGCACCGCAACGAAGAGUAGCUCCCGCUCACCGCAACUAGGGAAAGCCAGCGUGCAGCAACGAAGACCCAAAGCAGCCAAAAAUAAAUUAAUUAAAUAAAUAAAUUUUAAAAAAAAUAAUAAAAUAAAUU